rnacentral:lncRNA from 1 species
GUCGCUUCAGUACUGACCAAGUGCCAGGAAGAGGUCAGCCACAUCCCUGCUGUCCACCCGGGUUCAUUCAGGCCCAAGUGCGACGAGAACGGCAACUAUCUGCCACUCCAGUGCUAUGGGAGCAUCGGCUACUGCUGGUGUGUCUUCCCCAACGGCACGGAGGUCCCCAACACCAGAAGCCGCGGGCACCAUAACUGCAGUGGUAAGCAGUG